GCGGGCAGCCGCCAGGGCGAGGCGACCCGGUGCGGGGGGACUCCCAUGGAGCGCCGACUCCUAAGGAAGUCGCUGGGUAUCCCACCGGCUGUACCGCGGGGCGUUAGUACCUAGAUGGCUUCGGUGCCCCCAAGCGAUGGGCUCAAGCUACAGGGCGGGCUUUGCACCUGGCCUUCUCAGCUCUGAGGCAGGCAGUGGGCAGCUUCGCCUCCACCCUCCGUCCAGCGCCCUUCCCAUGGGGCCAUCCGCCUCUCCCUAAGGCACUAAAAACCAGUGGAGGAGUCAGGCCAUGUUGGCAAAAAGGGCUCGGGCAGCAGCCCCAGACCUAUAGUCCUAAAUAUCCAUGUACCCAGCCCUGGGGUCACGAGCCAUCUCAGGGACGACCCGAUUCCAGCGGAUGGAGAAGUUCCCUGAAAACACCUGCCUGGGAGGAGAGACGAGGGAACGGGAUUGGGUAACAGCUUGCAGCGUGAUAACACCAUGCAGUGUGAAGGAGCUGUAUGCAGUGGAGCCGCAGGGGUUAGUCAGGCCUCGCCCCUAAAUCUGCCUCUUAAAUAAGAGUCAGUUUCAGCCAAACCUGCCUUUUCCAGUUCUGUGGAGGUCAGUCUGCACAGCCAAUCCCUGACAGUGCUUUACCAUGGAACUGAAACCAUGAAAAGUGAAACUGCAAAUAGGAGAGACUGCUGUAUAGUCACUGAAAAAUUAAUGGAUGAGCUCAACAGCAAAUUAGACACAACUGAAACCUUGGACCCAGUGUGGAAGAUGACAGCAUCACCAACUGGAGGGUGCCUGGAUCCCUGAGUCACCACUUGAAGCGAAAAG
rnacentral:lncRNA from 1 species